UUCCUGUAAUGACUGUGUUAG
rnacentral:misc_RNA from 1 species